rnacentral:rRNA from 1 species
UUCUCCUGAUUUGGCCAAAGGGUCACACCUCUUCCCAUUCCGAACAGAGAAGUUAAGCUUUUGCGCAGCGAUGAUACUGACAUUGUCGGGAAAGUAGCUUGUCGGGAGAAC